UACGAAGGGGGCUAGCGUUGCUCGGAAUCACUGGGCGUAAAGCGCACGUAGGCGGAUUGUUAAGUCGGGGGUGAAAUCCUGGAGCUCAACUCCAGAACUGCCUUCGAUACUGGCGAUCUCGAGUCCGGGGAGAGGUGAGUGGAACUCCGAGUGUAGAGGUGAAAUGCGCAGAUAUCAGGAGGAACACCGGUGGCGAAGGCGGAUCUCUGGGCCGAUACUGACGCUGAGGAGCGAAAGCGUGGGGAGCGAACAGG
rnacentral:rRNA from 1 species